AACGAACGCUGGCGGCAGGCCUAACACAUGCAAGUCGAACGCUGUAGCAAUACAGAGUGGCAGACGGGUGAGUAACGCGUGGGAACCUUCCCAGUGGUGCGGAAUAGCUCAGGGAAACUUGAGGUAAUACCGCAUAAGCCCCUAGGGGGAAAGAUUUAUCGCCAUUGGAUGGGCCCGCGUCGGAUUAGCUAGUUGGGGAGGUAAUGGCUCAACAAGGCAACGAUCCGUAGCUGGUUUGAGAGAAUGACCAGCCACGCUGGGACUGAGACACGGCCCAGACUCCUACGGGAGGCAGCAGUGGGGAAUCUUGGACAAUGGGGGCAAGCCUGAUCCAGCCAUGCCGCGUGAGUGACGAAGGCCUUAGGGUUGUAAAGCUCUUUUGCCGGGGACGAUAAUGACGGUACCCGGAGAAUAAGUCCCGGCUAACUUCGUGCCAGCAGCCGCCGUAAUAC
rnacentral:rRNA from 1 species